GCUGCUGUGGCUCAAGGUAGCGUGUCCUCCUCUGGUAGACUGAGGUCAUUCUCAUUUGUGAGGAAGGUGUGGGUUCGAAUCCCACCAGUAGCA